rnacentral:tRNA from 1 species
GCCGGUUCUAAGCGUGGAAUGCAGAUCCCUCGUAAUGAUUAGGUCGUCGGUUCGAUUCCGACAGGCGGCU